CCUCCACUUCUAAUUAGAAACUCACCGGGGGAGUGAGCUGCAUCACACACAAAGGCAGGUAAAACAGGGCUGGCCAGUCGUCCUAACUUUCUGCUGAGAAAGCUUUAUCAGCAGAAAAUACAGGGUCUUGUCUCAUUCAAUGGAUGUGACUGACAGUCUAAUCGAUGUUCUCAGGAUUCUGGAUGUCUUCUGCCUCAACUAGCCAGAGACCAGCGUUCCUGCGUUGGUACAACUGCUGAAUUUACAAUAAAAUAAAUCCUGGGGCACCUGAGUGGCUCAGUAGGUCAAGCUUCCAUUCUUGACUCUGGCUCAAGUCAUGAUCUCAUGGUUGAUGGGAUCAAGCCCCAAGCUGGGCUCUGUGCUGACAGUGCAGAGCCUGCUUGGGACUCUCUCAAUAAGAGACUUAUUAAAGAAGGGACUUAUAAAAAACUAAAUCCCCAAACUGGAAAAUAGACGAAUACUCAGAAGUGGUGCCAAGGCUCUGUGAUAGCAUUUUAAAAAUCCUGGGGCAUCUGCAUGGCUCAGUCCAUUAAAUGUCUGAUGCUUGAUUUGGGCUCAGGUCACCGUCUCAUGGUUUAUGAGCUCAAGCCUGCUUGGAAUUCUCUCUCCUCUCAAAAUAAGAUGAACAAGAUGUAUUUUUUAAAUUUUAAAAAUUGCACUCAAAUCUUUAACUAAAACUUUACCAAGUAAAGCAUUUAGAAUUUGCUUUCAUUAGGUGUGAAGGUGGUUUUGUUUUGCUUUGUUUAUGGUAUGGAAUCCUAGGUCGCCUUGAUUCCCAAAAGUGAGGCUUUGUUAUUUCCAAUGUCUGUACACCCUUGUGAAUAAAUCCUCAGACACAUCUUAGGGCAAAAACCUUAAAGUGAAACUGAUGGGCCUAGGAAGAUCAUUUUCAUUUUAUAGAAGUAUAACCUACAUUCAAGGCAAAAAAUUGGAAGAAGGAAACCAGUCCUAAUCUGUACCAGCCACCUUAAACAUCUCACUAGUACGCCCCAAUGCUUUUCUUUAUAAAAACUAUCCUGCGUGCACGGUAACACACCUGUAUACUCAGUAUAAUAUAUACAUACAGUGGACUUUUCCCCGUGAAAAAGUACACAAUCAUUUUUUAUGGCCUAAUAGCAGUCGCUGUAUGGAGGUAUCAUCACUGGAACUAGUCCACUGGUCAAUAAGUAAAAGGCUUUGAUUUUUGCUUAAUGCAAACACUUGCAUCUUCCUAUGCAAAUAUCUACAUCUUGGGUCAAUCACCACUACUGGAAGUAGAACUGCUAAGACAAAGAACAUGCUUUUGAAUAGGCUUCAAGCGCAGAGCCAAUGUGGGGCUUGGACCCCAAACUCUGAGAUCAAGACCUGAGCUGAGAUUAAGAGGUGGACAUUUAACCAACUGAGCCACCCAGGCACCCCAAACAUGCUCCUUUUCAAAGCUCUAGACACACAUUCAUAUUGGGAGGUACUUGAGCACAUAUCAAUUUCAGUAUUUAUCAUGAUUUUUGCCACCUAGUCUGACUUCACUUGAUCAAAUCCAUCAGCCCUUCUCUACCCCAUUCAUUAAAAGUGCGAGCUUGAGCAUUAAACAGACUUCAGGUCUGUGACCGAAUUUUUCCAGGCCCAUUUCCUCAGUGGCAAGAGUAAAAACAGUUCUGUUCUUGAGAUUAUGAAAGCCAGGGCCAUCAAUGUGCUUCACAGCUCCAUCAUUUCUGGAAAUAUGUUCAGUAUUUACUAGGAUUUUUGUUUGAAUGUCUUCUAGGUUAGGGGUGCUUGGGUGGCUCAGUCAGUUGAGCAUCCGGCUUUAGCUCGGGUCAUGAUCUCACGUUUCAUGGGUUCGACAACUGUGCCAACAACUCAGAGCCCGGAACCUGCCUCGGAUUCUGUGUCUCUUCUCUCUGCCCCUCCCCCACUUGCACUCUCUCAAAAAUAAACAUUAGAAAACAAAUUUUAAUGGAGGUAGAAAUGCAACAUCUUAACUCCAAACUGUUAAAUGUUUAAAUAGACUUGAUCCUAUUUUUUUUUUUGAACUGUCUAUUCUGUUCCAUGCGUAUACCUACCUACAUUACAAGAUUACAUUGUUUUAAUAAGGGCAGCUAAUACACUGUAUUUUUACAGGGCUUUUCCUUUCUCAUUUCCCACAACUUCUCUCCCAAUUAGUGUUUGUUUUAAUACUUUCCUGACUGUAUUUUUUCAGAAUGGCACACUGAGAUCUAAUCAGACCAACUUGGGAGUACUCCAUUUUAAUAAUACUGAGUCACUAUCCAGGAACAUAGCACGCCCAUCUAUUAAUAUCUUUUAUGGACUUCAGUCAAGUUUUAGUUCAUAACAGCAUUUGAUCUCUACUCUCUAAAAUUAGUAUUUCUUUCUACUACUUGUUCUAUGGACUAAUUUGCCUAUUCCUAUAGUGACUUGAAAGGUAUUCAUACUUAAAAAUUUAGUUACAUUUGAAGCCUUAAACAUUCUCCAUCCUAAGUUUAUCACGUUCCUCACUUAACUAGUCCACCCCCUAAUGACACCCCCAACUCCUAUUUUUUGUAAACAAUCUGGAAUUUAAAAAAAAAUUACAUAAAGCAAAAUUCAGUUUUUACGGGGUGUUUAAGUUCUGGGAGUUCUGACAAAUGCAUAGUCAGGUAACAUCAAAAUCAAGAUACAGACCGGUUCCCUUGCUCACCUACAAUCUCCUCAGCAGCCCCUUGAUACUCAAGUCCUCCCCUACCCCAAUCUGUUCUCCAUCUCUCUGGUUUUGCCCAAUCUCAGAUUUGUAUACGUCUUUAUCAGUAAGUGUAAUAAGACUACUUUUUCUCUUAUUAAAUUUAGUUUCAUUGGUUUUCAGCUUAGAAUUCCAUACAGCCAAAGUAACUUCAAACCUGCUUUUGUCAUUUCUACGAAGUCCUUCCUGGCUGUUCUAAUCAAAAUGGCAACAUACGGCAGUUCUAAAAGGCUGCACAACCAUCGGGUCUAAAUUACUUUGUUUCUUGUUUUAAUUUACAAAAUAAGUAUCCUACCCUGUACAGAGUUGGGAGUAGAGCCCAGCAUUUUCAAAAGGGCUGGUACCCCUCGAAAUGAUUUUGAGGGCCACAUGGUGUGUCCACGCCUCCUGAUGGUCUGUUUGAAUCUAUUACACCUAAAAGGUAACUUCUUCCUGCCCAAGUGCUUACAGAGUCUUCUAUUAAAACUGUAUGUUGCUUAUGCCAAAGACAGUACAAAGUACCCUAAGGCUGAAAUUCAGCAGGAAUUAUCUGCACAAAAAUUUAAACUAGUUCAGUCAUUAAUAAUUUCACCCAUUAAUGAUAGAAUCUAAUACGGAGAAAUGUGACUGAUGUACUUUUUAUCCCUUGUCUCAAUUUUACAAUUGAAAUGAGGGGAUGCUUUUACCUAGAGCUGCAAAGCAACUGGAGGAUCUACUCCUGUGACUUGGAAAUUCCCCGAGGAAAAACUGGCUGAUUGUUUAAUGAACUGCUUUUUGACAGAACUGGCAAGGAGGGUAAUUCAGAAUGGCGAGGUUUGCUCAAUGAAAAAGCCACACUUGAGAGGUUGAUGGGGCAGGUGUCAAGAUCCAGGCACAGAGAAGAACCAGAGCUGAAGGGAGAAGAGAGGCUGGCCUAAAGGAGAAGUCCUACAGCCAGGCCCGGAACCAGCGUGAGCACCCUUACUGCCAUAUCAUACCCUACACCCUCCUGCCCCCCUGGGGCUAAGGGAAAAACGUGCAUGUAUCUGUAAAGAACUCCCAGGUGCUGUUCUUGAACACAAACAGGCACACUCCUAGUUCAGUGGGCUGGUUACGAGGCAAGUCAUGUGCCAGGAACUCGAUCUGCACCCACCCUACACCAGAGCCUCCUCUACAGUACCGCAUCUUUAAUCCUGACUCUGCUACUAACUGUAACUCCAUGGAUCACUCCUCUGUGUUUAUCCUCAUCUGUAAAAUGGGGAUGGAUAGCAGAAAGGCAUCUGGAACAGACCUGGGCUGAACAAGUAUUUGUAAUGCUAAUGUAACGCUAACACAGAAUGCUAAACAAGUAUUUGUGAAGUUAAUUUCCCCUAAAUUACACUUGGCUCUCUAUCAAGCA